UAUUUAAAUUCUUCUGAAUGGUGUCUGUUUGCUCAAUAUUUGUGCAGUCUGAGGUUAACUUCUUAGGAAGGUUUUCUCAUCCUAACCUUGUUAAGCUAUUAGGAUACUGUUGGGAAGAGAAUGAGCUACUCCUUGUCUACAAAUUCAUGCCAAAGGGCAGCUUGGAGAACCACCUUUUUUGACGGGGUUCUGCUGUUCAGCCACUUCCAUGGGGCAUUCGGCUUAAAAUACUAAUAGGAGCAGCUUGACGGCUGGAAUUUUUGCACACAUCUGAACUUCCAGUGAUUUACAGAGAUUUCAAGACCUCAAAUAUAUUGCUAGAUGAGUCCUACAAUCCCAAGUUGUCGGACUUCGGUUUGGCAAAAAUG